rnacentral:rRNA from 1 species
GUGAACGCUGGCGGUAGGCCUAACACAUGCAAGUCGCACGGCAGCACAGUAAGAGCUUGCUCUUACGGGUGGCGAGUGGCGGACGGGUGAGGAAUACAUCGGAAUCUACUUUUUCGUGGGGGAUAACGUAGGGAAACUUACGCUAAUACCGCAUACGACCUACGGGUGAAAGCAGGGGAUCUUCGGACCUUGCGCGAUUGAAUGAGCCGAUGUCGGAUUAGCUAGUUGGCGGGGUAAAGGCCCACCAAGGCGACGAUCCGUAGCUGGUCUGAGAGGAUGAUCAGCCACACUGGGACUGAGACACGGUCCAGACUCCUACGGGAGGCAGCAGUGGGGAAUAUUGGACAAUGGGCGCAAGCCUGAUCCAGCCAUACCGCGUGGGUGAAGAAGGCCUUCGGGUUGUAAAGCCCUUUUGUUGGGAAAGAAAAGCAGCAGGUUAAUACCCCGCUGUUCUGACGGUACCCAAAGAAUAAGCACCGGCUAACUUCGUG